CCCAGCAACCAAUCUGUGAGAUGUUAGACACUGGUUAGGUUCUUUUCAAUUUUCUCUGCCGGCCGGCAUCUGACUACACGAGCGUUAAAAAAAACAGUUUUCAAGUGUUUGUUUCUCGCGGUUCCCGUUCCCGAUCAUCUCAACAGAAUUAUUAAACACUCAGCAAGGCCACCAUCAUCAAUAAAGUGCCCUGCAAGAGGCGGAAGCGAACAUACGGUGAAGAAGCCGAGCGAGAAUGUUUGUUGGUGAUUUAUUUUCAGCAUUUUCAGUAACUCGUGAAAGUGAUCCGGAUAUUUACGAAAAUUCGUACAUGGCACUCAUCUGUACAAACAAACAUCUGUUCUCCGACCUGUACGAUGGAGUUGCUCGUAGGCCCAGUGUGAUGCCACUUCCGGUGUGAUGAUCGGCGAGGCCAAAACACUCGACAACAAAGUGAAGGUUUAAUAUGGCUUGUUGAAGGAACCGGAUGUUCAGACCCUAGUUCAAACUCCCCCUGAAGAAGAUGACGACAUGGAUCCGAAUGCUCCA